AGAAGACGGGUUAUGAUGUUAGUUGUUUUCGUUGCCUUUGGAUAACUCACGGGAGGAAGGGUUAAGACCUUCUACUGCUCUUCUGCCAUAAUUACAUGUGAUGCUCGUGUUAUUUUUGAAGUCGCUAAGUAGGUCGUGCAAUUUCUCUAUAGUGUUACCUUCCUAUUUGAUUGUCGAGAUCUAAUUGUUUUCGCUUUUAACGGCCUUAGAGUCUCAAUGGCUUUGGUACUACGUUAGAUUCCUUAGGAGUAUUACGUCCGUUCUACACGUGGACCCUAUUAUGACGAUUAGAUACACCCACGGACCUAGAAACACGAAAGCUGACUGGGUAACAUGAGCCGGUCAAACCAGAUCCCUCUCCCCUGGAUCGGUCAAUGCUCUAUAGAGAAUGUUCUAGUCUAACUCCUGAAUUCCACGAAAAGAGUGAUUUCAUCCUCAAAGAAAAAAAAAACUUGUUGAAGCCAUAUGGCAAGGUUUUCAAUUUUUCCUCUUUCAAACUGGUCGUUGUUCAUCAACCAACACUAACUUGAUCGGUCGGACAUUGAUUUCCUAGAUUGGUAUUAAUGAUUGAAACAAUAAAGCAGUUGAACAUUAUGAUGGUAUCAUGGUUGAAUCCUAUCGACACUUUGAUCUUAAAAUGUAGGUCAAAGUAUCUGACUUUCCUAAACUCAAAUCUUGUUGAAGCUAAAGCAGGUUCCGUUUACCAACCAUUUCAGUCUGAUUUGAAAACAUAGUCAAUUUCAAAAUAGAAAAAAAUUGAGAUCAAAGUGGAAACUGAAAACAAAAACCUGUUUAUAUUGAUAAUCAUGAAAAUCUUAAAAACUGAAAACCAAAACAUAAAUCAUGUUUAACUCACAAUUAUACCUGAGAUAUCUUGUGAAGCAGCCGUCCUACUUUAGCGAUCAUAAACUCGUAACCAUUCAAUUCAUAAUCCAAUCAAUUGCAACUCGAUAAAUCUACUUCAGUUCCUUAGUUUAAAAUUUCCGUAACAAUUAACAUCAUAUUGUUUUCCGCGAUAAAGUUCCAGUUAUUUCUAGUUUCAUUUUUUUCUAAUAAAAUUUAUUUAUAAUUUAUUUAUUAAUGAAAUCUAUUUAUAGUUGAAUCUACUAAUUUUUAAAUAUAAACUUAUCCAAACCAAUCAAAAACUCUCAAAAUCAUUGCAAUGGGCGAGACGUCAAAAACAUAUAAAGGACAUAUGAAUGAGAGAAAAACGAAUUGAAUAAACACAUUGCAAUGGGUGAGACUUCAAAGCUAUCACGUAAUUGCACUAGUCGGACUAGAAAAUUAAAAUAGAUGGGUAUAAACACUACCUCGAUCGACCGGAGGUUGAUUUUUUCGUUGGUAGCUAUCGAUUGAAACGAUAAAUAUGUUAAACCUAAUAAUGGAUGGUAUUUUUUUUUAUUGUUAUCGACGCUUUGAUUUCAAAAUCUAGCUCAAAGUAUGAGACUUUUUCUGGAGAGUUCAUCUCAAUUCUCAAGUGGACAAUUGGGUGCAGGUUGUUAUUGCCACGUGAGGGUCCCAUUGAAGUAGUGGCUGCUGCUCUCACAGUGACACAGAAUGUUGGAGCUCAAAUAUCAAAGCGACCAAAGUUGAGAGUAGCUGAUCUCACAGUCACAGUGGCUCCAGCUAACACGUUGCAUUGAAUGUAUUCAAGUCCUUCCUGGGAGAAAGAGGAUUACUUUUAAAUCCGAGGCUGCUGCUCUUCUGUCUGGUCGAAUUUACUGUUCUACAGUUAAUACUCUGCUUCACUGGCGAAAAUCCAACACAAAAUCUGACCGUUACGGUUAGGGAUGGAAAUGGUUUGGUUUCUAGUUAGCCGAAACCCACAAUCUAGGUUAACCAGAAUGUUAUAGUUCCGAGGCUUUGUUACCCACAGCUAACUAAAAUCUUAUCAAAUCCAGCAAUCUAAUACGAGUUCGUACAAUCUUGUCAAUAGUACCUACUAAGGUUUAAAUUUUCGGCACAGGGUUUAUUGUCGAGCCAUAUUGUAGAUCACAAGCAGCGGCGGAUCCAUAAUGGUUUAGUGCAUUAGGCCGAAUUAUAUAGAAUUUGAAAUUUGCACGAAGCCGCAUAUGAAACUGAAAAUUAUACUAAAAUUUCACAAAACACAAUUUUUUUUUGUGUAAUAUUGGUACCCUAUAUUGGAAAAUGAAUUAGGUCAUGGUUUAAAAGAAACUCCUCUAAAUCCGCCGCCGAUUCACAAGUCACAAAGUACAAUGCCUUCAAACAAUAAAAAAUAAACAUGUACAAACGAAUUUGUGUCAUACUUCAAGAACAUAUACUUACUCACUAAAUUCACAAGUGUUCUUAGUUAGGGAAUUUUUUCAGUAUCUCCUUUAAAGUCUUGGGGUGUUUUAUAGUAUUUUGAUAUCGUUUUGGAGUGAUUUGUAGCAUGCAUGUCACAAGCAUCAUAGUGGGAUGUAGAACAAGUGACAUGAGAUGUGGGAACAAGCCGAAAUGAUGAUAGAUGGUUUAGAAGAUGAGUUGUUGCGAUUUUACAAAACCGCGGUUAUCACAUUUAAUAAAUGUGCCACAUUUAUUGUUCAUUAUCACUACAUUCUUUGUAAUUGGGUUCAAGCCCGUGUAUAAGCCGAUAGCAGUCCUAAUCGGAAGCUAAUUUUUUCAUAAGAGCGCCGAGUCUUAGAACACCGAAAUUGAAUGAAUGGGAAGCUCAUUUCUUUCACUUGAUGGAGGGUGGAAUAAGUUAGGAGCAAUCUAUAGACCUGAAAUGGUGCAUCAACUAGGUCUUCAAUUUGGAGGCAACAACUCGUUCUACUGAUGAGCUAGGUUGCGAGGUUAUUGCACGACAUCGCUUGAUCUUAGGCCAUAGGCUAGAAACUACCAUGACUUGUGAAUGCUUGUUAGGAUUUCUGGUAAAACUGACCAUUUCGGCAUCUGUAGAACAAGUCUAAACCCCUGUCUCCAUUAUCGAAUAUAAACCCUUAUAUCAACAUUAGUAGAUAAGAAUUCGUAAAACCUACACCACAUAUAUCGUUUUGAUUUACACAUAGUACGAGUUCAAAACCCGAGUUAGUGAAAUCCUCAGGGGUUACGACCCCAGUUUGUCUAGGCAUUAUAUGCAUCUUUGACUUACACGUCUCGCAUAUCACAUUUUGACGCCAAUCCACGAACUCUCUAGAUUCGUACGAAAGAACUCAUCGGGUGUUAAAUCUUUCACUCCACGCUACUUUUCUUAUGAGGGAUCUCAAGGAGGACACAAAAGCUCGAAGGCUAUUUCACAAGACAAUCAACAUUCAUGUAAAGAAUAGGUUCCAAAACUUAUGCCGGGUUGAGGUACAGAUGGCCAACGCAAGGUUUGAAUUCGAGAUGCUUUCAUCCUACUAAAAUCUAGAAUGCAGGUUAUGAUUAUAGGGGAUAAUCAAAUCAUUCGAACUGAAUUCUUUCACAUGUUAAGAUCACAUAAGCUCUUCAGCAAGCAUUUCAAUUAAGUUUGAAACCAAACACAGCAAUAAUAGCAGUUCUGAAGAAACUGGAAGAAGGUACUAUAAUAGGUCAGAAGUCCCAACAGACAUUGUAUGAGUAUCCAUCGAGUAAAAAUGAAGAAAAAAAACACGUUUCAAUAAAUAGAAUCUACUGUUUGUUCGUGUACAUAAAUCAAUAUUUGGCUUUGAGCAACUUGAUAUGCUUCUCUGAAUAUUUAACCAAUGCCUGAAUCCAUAACACUUCUUCUAACAACGUGAUUCAAUUCAAGUAUAUGGACACCUAUAGCUCAAAGUUGUUGUGCCUGACCUGGAAACUGGAGAGAGAGACGUCGUGUAUAUAUUGCUGCUUUGUCAUCUACAGGCCAAAAUUGCACAUCUGAACAAACUCCAUGUCGCUGUCGAUAUGUUUCGUCCAUAGAUGCUUGUACUGGUUCAUGGCAAUGUCGAGCCAAGGUUUCAUGUUCCCGUUGUAAUGAAUCACUGCAGCAUUGCUGAUCUCGUCCAUGCUGAUACCGGGAUUGUAACCAAGGCCGAGCACAUGCCAUGCUUUGUCCAACGACUUGGUUUUCGAGUAGAAUGUGAUCAAUCCAGCUGGGAGAGUGCCCGAUUUCCAUAGAGUGUGAUUCUCAUUCUGGUUAAGAUAAAAUGAACAAAAAAACGCAUUGGUAAAGCAUCUUAACCAAGUUCAACAACAUUUGAGUGAAGAAAGGGAAAAGCUUUACCAAGUUCUGCCAGUGGUGAUAAGUUUCAGUGCAACCCUCACGCCUCCAAGCAUCUAGAUCGAAUAUGUUCAUUCCAAAAGCCCAAGCACAAGCCUUGGAAUUAAAGUUCUCCUUGAUCAGGGGAUGUGAAAAGUUCAAGUAAUGGGAGUAACGGUGAAACGACCCGAAGCAAGUCUCGACAGCUCCAUUCACCUUCCCAUCCAAAUCAAGCUUCCACAACCUGCUCAAGUCCUUCUGGACAACUACGUCAUCGUCCAGAAACAAUAUCUUAUGCAACUUGGGAUACAACUCUGGCAAAUAAAACCGGAGAUGAUUCAACAUUGACAUGUACUUUGGGUUCCUGAAUUUCAUAUUACUUGCGGCAUCACCACUAGCAUUCUCUGCUUGAAUCUUGUGGUAAUGAUUUUUCAUAUAAGAGCUUUCGAGUUGCUUCAAAACUGGGACAUAGGACGGAUUCAAGAACGAGAAGUCUUCCACAGACUUGAUCUCCACAUGUGCACCCCCUUCGAUCGGUCUCAUCCUAAACCAAACCUUCAUAGCUGCUAGAUUCAUCCUAUCAGUAACCACAUGAAAGACGUGCUUCCAAGGUUCCUCUGUGUUGUUCACCACCGACCUCACCACAACAGAAACAGCAAUCACAUUGUCUGAAAACAAAGCAUAGUGAUACAAACUCGGAUCUUCAAAAGCAGGGUUGGGCUCUUCUUCAGUGUACUUCUCCGGGUGCGUGAUCCUCUCCUCUACAAGCCUCAUCGCCAAGCAAUGCAGACUCUUCGGGAUAGAUUUCGCAGCAAUGUUGCUGGUUAUACCCCCAUUCUUCUUUGCCUUCCCCAACUGCUCAUUCACAGCAAAUAUCGUAUCUUUGAGCUUCUGAAUCUUGAUCUCAUUGUCGUAACUUUCCUUGGACUCAACUAUCAUGGACCGCGCAACUUUCACCUUCUCCUUAACCUCCUUCUCAAACUGUCUCAAUACCUCAUCGUCCACUGCACUCUGCCCUUCGAACGAGUAACUCGGUUUUGAGGUUAGAUCGGAGAAAUUCUUUGCAAGGUCAUCAAACAUGUUCAGCUGCUUGGAAAUGUCAAGCUUCAGCUUCCUCGCGUAAGCAGCGUAAGCGUUCACGAGCAUCAUGUGAUCAGUGGCUUGCUUGUAUAUCAAAUCUAACCGGGUUUUGAGUGGAUCCGACUUAAUUGCCAGAAAUGUCCGGUGCAUAUAUGCGUUUCCGCUUGUAUGAAAUGACUGUUCAACAACGACAUUCAAAAAAGCGUACGGCAUUAAUUGACAGAGAAAGGAAGUAUCAAAUCCGAAUCCAAUUUCAAUUCCAAAAACCAAAAAACCAUCGGAAUCAAAGAUCGAACGAUCACUGGAUUAAAAAAAGCAAACAAAAUUGAAAAUUUUGGAUAGAAAAUUGAAUACGCGUCUACUUACAGAGGGGAGCUGAGAAGAGGUAGAAGGAUGAGUGGUGAGUAUGGCAGAGAGGGUGGCGACGAAGAGGAGAGUGAACAUGGCAGAGAGGAAGAUCCGGUAGGAGAAGAAGCUGCGGAGGCCGGCAUUGACACCGCCGGAUCCGAUGCCACUUCCUCGGCCACCACGAGCGGUGACCGCCAUGAGAAUUCCGCCGGAGUGAAGAUUUGAUUGGUUUUCGCUUUCUCUGUGGAGAGUUGGGUAUUCAAGGUGGAUUUGGUUGGGAAGAGGAAUCAGAGUGGAGAGAGAGAUUUGGAAGAUGGUGAAGAAGAAGAAGAAGAAGACGCUGCUAUGGAGUCGAGAGUGUCUCGAGAUCUAAGAAGAGUGGAUCCAUUUCCGCGUCGGUGAGUUUAUUUAUUAUUAUUUAAAUAAGUUUUGUUUUGACAUCAUUAAAUAAUUUUUUUUUAAAAUAGUACAACUUGCAUUUUUAUAUAUUGUGUAUUUUAGUUAUUUAAUUUGUUUCUUAAUAAAUAGUAAUGGCUGGAAAGAAAUAUAAGGUGAUGAAAAGGAAAUUUAUAACUUUAGGUCAACAUUGAUAUGCUUGCUUACUUUGUUGCUAGAGAAAAAAAAUUUAUUGAUAUAUCGGUCGAUUAAUUUUACUUUAUAAAGUUUAUAUUUGAUAUACUCUUAUAAAUAGAAUAAUAAAUAUUUAAUAAUUAUAGUUCAACAAACACAACCUAUUAUUUAUUUUGUGUAAUCCAUUCUAUGAUGAGCCGCACCAAAUUCAAGAUUGUCGUCAGGUACAGCCAACUAAUUUGGCUAUUCAGCUGAUAACCAAAUCAAUAGGAUGGAUUCGAAAGAUUGUGGGCCCUUGAAUGAGAUAACAUUAUGGACAAAUCGAAUCUAACUGCUCACAAUAAAUUCAAUAAACUGACAUGAUAAAAAAUGAAUNNNNNNNNNNNNNNNNNNNNNNNNNNNNNNNNNNNNNNNNUUUGGGGAAUUGUUUUUUUUCCUUUUCUUUUUUUUUUAAUUUUUUUUACAUCUAUUCAUUUAUUCACUUAUCCCUAAUUUUAAUUAAAUAAUUAUAAUUAUUUAUAUAAUGUUCAAAACAAAAUUUUUACUUCACAAAUUUUGUUUAUUUUAAUUUUUCAAGUCUAAUGAGAUCAAUCUUGAUACAUUUUAUUAUUUUAUGAUAAUGUCACAUUUUAUAACUAAUACGUUUAUAUAACUUUCAAGAUCAUGUCGUGUAAUUGUUACAGAGCAAUUAUGGGGUCGAUUAUGUUACAUAACCUGAACAUCUACGGUCAAACCUACGUUACAAGUAUGUUGUGCAUUUUUAUCUUUAGUUCAUCAACAUUUUAUAUCAUAUUAUGUUACUAUUAUAUCCAUAUUAUAAAUAAAUUUAAUUACACUUUCCUUAUAUCCCAUGUGUAUCCAAUGUGUAGACGUGAUAAGAAUAAAACUAUCUUUGAGACCACUUUCAUUUUAAAUACUCUAAUCAAUCGUCAUAUUAUCGUCAUUGAUUCAUUGAGCAUAAUUUAUUAAUGUCGACAUCGAUUCAUCAUCUUAUCAUCAAUCGGUGGUUUCAAAGGGGAAUCUACGUACGACGUAGUCAAGGAUAUAUUUUUAUUUUUAUUAUUAUUAUUAUGGGAAGAAAAUGACUGGAUAAUAUGAGAGGGGGGAGACGUCGUCACUGAGCUUACAGAGGUAGCACUCAGGUCGGCAGGCUCAACAUACAAAAAAACAACGUCGAACUUAGUUAUUUAAAGCACGGAGAAACUGAAAACUAAUAAAUUAAAAGGUGUGUAGUUGGAUGAUCAGUUGGACUUGUUCAUGCCGGUGGCAUCCUUAACGGCGUCAGCAGCGCCCUGUGCCUUAGCCUUCAUCUGCUGCCCGGCAUCCUGCAUCGAUUCCUUAGUCGACUGAGCUGCUCCGGCCGCCUUGUCCAUCAUCCCGCUCGCCUUCUCCUGCCCUUGCCCCUUCGCCUCUCCGGCGUGGUACGCCAUCUUCUGGCUGUUGUCUGCCAUUUCUUUCCUUUGUAAUUAAUUUCUCAAGGAGGAAUUUCACUGCUUUGAUUUGGAAGGAGAAUGAAUAGGUUGUUGUUUUGGAUGAUGAAUGAAAAUGGUCCAAGGGUGUUCUUCCUUUUAUAGGGAAAUGGACUCCGACUCAUUGCUUGCCACGUGUCCUUGGUGACGUGUGUUUCUUGACUGACACGUGUUGCCUUCGCAGAAAAUCUGCAUGGGGAAUCGAUCAGAAGAACGUGAUCCAGUCUAUAAUUAUUAUUAUUGGUGGAUGGUCCGGGUUUUCAGUUGGCGAUUCAAAAGGUGGCCUUUUUUGUUUUAGCGGCUAGGAUGUUGCCACGUGUAUAGAGGCAGCUGCUGCUGCGGAAAACCAGACCGAGCCGGUUCCCUGUGAUCGACAUCACCGGAGUUUUGUACCCGAUUUGUAACAUGAUUCGAAACCAAGAUCUUCAAUAUAGCGUUCCUACCUCUACUAAAGCUGUAUACUCAAAUUGUUAUAAUCUACCCACUAGUGUAAAUUCUCACAAAAUAUACCUAAUAUCAAAACCUAAAUUUUUCAUUAUCCACUUCCACUUUGCUCGAUGAGAAGAAGUAAUUACUUAGGUCGUUGUUCCGACCUCCUCUCAUCGAACAAAGUCGACAUAAAGUUGGCACCCAUUUCCUCUUCGAACCUCUUUGUCUCCACUAGCUUAGACCCUCGUCGAACUGAAGCAGGAACUCCACAAGAGACUUCUAUACCUCUGUUUCUCUUCCACCGGACUCAAACAUAACAUUUUUUGCGAGUCAUUAUGUUGCUCCAAUUUUUUCUCCCAUCAUGUAUCGGAGAUUUUCUUUGGGUAUUAUAUAUUGAUGAGUGUGGAGGGGCUUAAUUCAUUGAUAUAACUUAUGAGUCCGACAAAGGUCCGAUUAUGGUCGAGGUCGAUAGCUGGAGCCUGGAGGUGUUCCAGCAACGGCAGAGGGCUGAUGACCGACUGUUCGCGACCGAGGUCUAACAAAGGAAGAAUGAUGAUUUUGUAACAUGAUUUAGGUACUAGAAAGAACAUAUGUAUAGAGUUGUUAACUAACUUCAGUCACUUGGGCCUUCCCCCAUGCAACAACUUUACAAAGUGUUUGAAGUUUCAAAUUGAAUUGCUGCUGAUCAAACCAAAGCAGUAAUACACAACAAUGACGAUCGAGGCGAUUACAGAUUUGCAGUGAGUGCCUUUUACAGGAUAAUCAAAGAGCCCGUUCAACUCUCGCCAAUGAUCAAUGGCAUCACAGUAGUAAUUCCACGAUGUAUACAUUCAGCGAAAAAGAAUCAUAAGAAUCAGAAAUUAUGUACCAUUGUGUGCUCACAAAACUGAAUCCUGUGCUGCCUCCAUGGAUACAGAAGAAGCAAAUAACCACUGACUUCUCCUGUUUCGAUCCGUUUACUUCAUUGCAUCAGCUUCUUUGUUCCCAUUUUCAUGCUCUGACGACUGAAGCACCUUCGCAUUGUUCUUGUCAUACUCGUGCUUCAGCUCUUUCAAUCGACCCGAUACCUGAUAAAAAAUCAACCCAAUGUAUCAGAAACUAAACUUGUUUGAUAUGACACGGAAGGAUUUAGCUUCACCGAACCAUGAAUCAAACAUUUAAGCAAUUUCAUAGCCCGGAGAAGCCUUCUAAUCCUCAGACUUCACUACUUUUGAUGAGUUCAACAGAGAAGAGGAAAGGAUAAAAAAGAAACCUUUAUGGAGUACGCCAUUGGUAGCAAAACAUCUGGAUUCAUGGCAUCCUCAGGGAAGUUACGGAAAGCUUGCAUUAGCUUCUCAAAUGGAAGUUUGACCUGGCAACAACAAGAAGAUCGUUCUCAAUUCUCAAGCUCAACCGAACACUUAACCAAGUGACUGGCAUCAAGAAGCUGCCGCUCCAAGGAGUACUUACCAUGUCGUCAUGGCAAUAUUUCAACAGAGCCAAUCCUACUUUGAAAACAAUUUUUACACCCUGGAUACACGAGAAAAGAUGUGAGAAGACGAACAAAAACUGCCAUCAGAGAGUGGGGGAAAAGACCGGUCACAAACCUCGUAAAGAAAGACAUCCCAAAUUCGAAGGGCCAAGUGAAAUGGGAAUGAGUAUGAGAAGACAGUAAUAAACCACUGACUAGCAUACAUGCUAGGAUUUAUCAUUUCCGUUGAAAAAUGCUGUCCAAGUUUGGGCAUAUGUUCUUUCACCAAAUUCUCAAACUGAAACAGAUACUGCUGUACAAGAGGCAGCCCCACCUACGGUAACAUUAUCAAACAACAGUUGUCAGACAGCGACGCAACUUAAGUCUAGACCUCUUGGAUCGAAUUUGAAUACCAAUUACCUGAUACAACCCUUCCAUCGGAGCAUGGACAGCACCUUUGAGCAACGCAACCAACAACCAGAAGGCAUCUUCUUCACUCAUAUAAAGAAGCAACAAACCAGCUACAAAGCCCAUUCCCUACAAAUUGCCGGAUAUCUCGUGUCAUUUUCACUCAGAAAAAUAAAGAGCAAAUUGUAUAAUGGCAGUACGAAGAAUGCAUAAUCAAACCUGGACAUAUCCCACAUCUCUAUCAUACACAGAAUAUGCCUUCAAUACAUUGUAAAGAGACCUCUGGCCUGGACCAUGUCUCUGCUGGAAGAAGACGUGUGAAGGAAAAGUGCGAGAUAUAUCACGAAUUAUGUCCAGUUCAGAUGCUGACGUCUCAUAUAUAACUAGUUGCUGUAAUAACAAGAAAUUUUUUUCAGUUAAUGGUGAAUCAGUAAUUCAACUGGACUAGCAUACUGAACUACUCAGUCAGAAGGAAGGAAAGAAUCACUAUAAUGAAAUUACCUAGCAUUCUAAACAGCUAAGCUAAUGAAUGUUUGAACUUCUAGAUGUUGUACUCAAAGAUGAGAUGUGGUGCUAAAUGUGAUAUAUGGUUUUCUAGCUUUAACUAGGAACUCAUACUACAGCUAACAAAUAAGAGACAAUAACUUGAAUUCAGAAACGGUUUGAAAACCAAAUCAGUUGAAGACUAAUGCGGGAAGCAACCACAAAGUAGUACCUCAUACACCCCAGGAUUCAUCAGCAGAAGAUCUCUACUUCCAGAAAUAAGCUGCCAAACAACACCCCUUAAACAGUCAGGAAUUCCUUUCCUAAUACGCCUUUUAACCACAUGAGGCUUCCUCCUCACGUAGUGUUUCCAGUCACUUCCUCCGACCCCAAUCAUCUUCCUCCAUUUCCUGAUCCUCCUUUCUUCACUGUUAAAGUACAUGAUGGAAACAAGCAUUGUUCAUCAACAAAAGGAGAUAACCACUGCUACUCAUAUUUCAUGGAUACGAAUAUUUAAAAACGAAGGAAAACCCCUUAUUCAACACAGACCUCGCUUUGCUCGAACCUUCAGGAGAAUGGCAAGCAUCUUGCUUUAGACAGCUAAAUCUAUCAGUGAAUCGGGGUGAAGGAUUUGGCCCUGCCUCAUGGUCAUCUGCUCUUUUCUUUUCCAUCAUACACCACUAAAGAAACUCCACAGCAUCCACAGGCAGAGUACAGAGUAUUGGCUUCAAGGACAUGAUGACUGAGAAAACCCCCAACCCUUCUUAUCAGAACUAAUGGCAAGAUAAAAAGACAGGAGUCCUUCCUGCACGUUUGCACAUACUUAAAUGUAUAAAUCGCAGUGUACAUGGUAUUGACGUGAAAUCGCAGGCUUGAUUUGACAAAUCACAGAGCAGCCGGAAUAGGAAAACACAGAUAAAAAGCAAUUCAAGUUGAAUAAACCAGAACAACAGAGAUAUUCAGACCUCUAGAUUUCCGAUCUGGGAAGCGAUCAGCUCUUCCUCAAGGGAGUGGUGAUUAGUUGCAAUGAACACAUAUAGCAUCCGGCGCCCUCCAAAGAAUUGAGGGAAAGCGGGAAGAGAUUCAACAGGGGCGAGAACGAAAAGGGUUAUGAAGAAAAGCUGUGUGGGAUUAGGUUCCUGUUUGGAUUGCCCGUUAAGGAAACGGAAUAAGGGAAGACAGAGUUAGAGAACUGAUUUCUCCUGCUCAAGUUUACAGGAGCGUUUGUUUGAUGUGGUAGGUAAAUGUUGUAGGGCUACAGGAAAAUUUCGUUAUUUCCCUUUCAGAUCGGCCGAUCGCCGGAGGAGGAAACAAUGGUGGUGGGUGGUUUUACCUUCAACAAUCCAAAGUCCUAACUGCCUGCAAUUAUGCUUUCUAAUACAAAAGGAUAGUAUUAGUAUGGUAAAUCAGGGCUCGAAGUCCACAACUCACGAAUUAGGGUUCAAAGAUCUUGAGGAUUACAAUGAUUGGAAUUUGGAGCUGGCAGGCACCGGAUCAAAAUUGGCAGCCCCCGCCCACCAGUAUCAUUUACCAUCUGACCUGACCGGUUUCACGAUACUGAUCAGGUUUGUUUACGUAAAGUAUAACCAUAAUAGUGAAAUCGUUGAAUCAACUUGAAAUCGAAAAAUUACGUGAAAUUGUAGUUGUAAAGUUAAAACAUAAAAUUAUAAAAUUUCACGACAAUCAAUAAUAGUAAAUUUAAAGAGGAAAAUGCUCUAAUUGUACACUAUUGUUAUUAUUUUAAUUUUUACUUAUUAAUUAUUAUUAAAAUAAUCAAAAUANNNNNNNNNNNNNNNNNNNNNNNNNNNNNNNNNNNNNNNNNNNNNNNNNNNNNNNNNNNNNNNNNNNNNNNNNNNNNNNNNNNNNNNNNNNNNNNNNNNNNNNNNNNNNNNNNNNNNNNNNNNNNNNNNNNNNNNNNNNNNNNNNNNNNNNNNNNNNNNNNNNNNNNNNNNNNNNNNNNNNNNNNNNNNNNNNNNNNNNNNNNNNNNNNNNNNNNNNNNNNNNNNNNNNNNNNNNNNNNNNNNNNNNNNNNNNNNNNNNNNNNNNNNNNNNNNNNNNNNNNNNNNNNNNNNNNNNNNNNNNNNNNNNNNNNNNNNNNNNNNNNNNNNNNNNNNNNNNNNNNNNNNNNNNNNNNNNNNNNNNNNNNNNNNNNNNNNNNNNNNUGGAUUUAGAAUCGUUAUAUGCCAUUAAAAUCGUAAAAUCGUAAAAUUUUAAAAUCUAAAGCAUCGAUUUCAUUCCGGUUGAAUAUAAGUGUGUAAUAUAUGUAUUACACAACAUUUUUACAAGAAAUUGCGAUAUUUUUCUAUUUCGAACUUAACACGAGAAUGAUACAACGAGAUCAAAGAGAUAAAAUCAUAGAAGAGGGAAAGAACCACGAGAGAGUACUUACGUACAACUUAGUCAACAAAAUAAUUUUUACGUGGUCGAAUGAACAACAUAUAUCAGAACCAUCACUCGAUCAACGAUCAAAUUACACGAGAUCAAAUCAAUCAAACCCAUAAUGGGUUAUUUUAUUUUAGUAAGAAAGAAUGGAUGUGACAAUAAAUUGGAGGACGACACAUAAAUUACACACAAGAAGAGCAAACAAAGAAUUUAUUAAUUACUUCAAAGGAAUCGGGACUGCUUGCAUUCAACAGGGACGCCCUGAGGGAAGCGUUGCAAGUCGGUGCAGUAAUUGUAGAUCAUAUAUUUGCUCUGCACCCAUCGGAUCCUGUUCCGGCCGGCGGCAUCAAUCCCCUGAGUCUGCCAUCCUCCCGGAGAGCAGGUUGAGGAGGCCGAGGACGGUGACCAGACGCAGGCUUCGGCCUUGAAGUUUCUGUAAGACGCGACGAAUGGAGCGUUGGUCCAAUCAGCCUUGACUCUUCCGCCUUGGGUAGCCCAAUCAUCAGCAUUCCACAAGCUGGAGUGGAUGCUCAUCGGCUUCUUGUUCGGGAAUGGAACCCCCAUUGAUUCCAAGUUGUUGAACACUCUGAUUGGUAUGUUGUCCACCAAGAAUCUGCACAUAUAUAAUAUUGUUCGAAUAUGAAAAGCCAAGCUGUUUGUGAGUCGUUCGGUUUGAAAAAAAUUUGUUUGUGAAUCGGCUUGAUUCUAAAUGAUUUAAGGUUGAGUUAGGGUAUAUUCGAUUCGAUAGGCUCGCGAGCUGAUAUGAGAUCGAACUCGAGAGCCAACGGGAACACUAGUUCAGGUAUAUGAUGAUAUAGCUUAUUAGUAGACUAAUUAAUCAUGUGUGUUUGUCUAGAAUACUAUACAAACAAUAAAUAUAUGUUAUUAUUUAUCAAAAAAUCAUAUGUUAUUUAUGAUUGUGCUAAUAAAUACGUAAGUGACACGUUGUCUAGAUUAUGUAACUAUUUUAGUUGUGAAAACUAAAAAAUAUUGAAGUAGAAACUUGUAAAUUUUAGGAUAGCUUGUUUUUCUUGCUUUGACUCGUUCGAUGUUUCUUACUGUACAAGUUUCAAAAUUUAGCUCAAAUUGGGUUCAUUAUAAGGAUUUUAAUGAGUAAAGUUCGAAAUGAGUUUGAGUUUGACUUGUUAAUUAGCUCGUCAAGAUUAAUUAACGAGCCAAAACUCAAUCGAAUAGGCUUUAGCUCGACAUGAGUUAAAAUUUUCUAAGACAAAGCCCCCCUGAAACGUAACGAACCAAAUUUGAGACUAGUAAAAUUCGGAUCGACUCAGUUCGUAAAUAAAUUAACCUGCCCUAGCAUUGAUAUAAUACACAAGUUGACUUACAUGAUUCUUUGGGAAUUCCAAAGGAUGGUGUAGGUGUGGAAAGCAGCAGUCGGGUCGAACCAGAGAUGGAACUGUUGUUCUCUGUUGCCUUUUCCUUGACUAAAAACAUUGGUGUGGAGCGUGUAAGGAUUACCGGUGGAGUUUCCGAGAAACUCGAAGUCGAUUUCAUCGUGAUUCGGUCCUUCUUUCGACGACAGCUGCACACGAGAUGUAAUUAAGAUAUCGUCGUAUCGGUAUCUACAUCAAUAGUUAGACAGUGGAAAAGUAACAAAUCAUAAUCAAAACUCACGUAAAAAGUCGUGACACUUCCAGCAGAGUUGCCAGCGAUGAGCUUGAGUUGCAUAUCGAUGCGACCAAAGAGAUACUCGUUCUUGGAUUUGAAGCCAGCGCCGGAAUCCUUGUUGAGGGAGAGGGCUAAUUGCUGUCCGCCGUUGGUGAUCUGAGCAUGGUGGUGCCCCCAAGUGACGUCAAAAUGCUGGUGGAAGUUGGCAUUCGAGAUUGGCACUAGAUGAGUACCCAACACCGUCACUAGUAACAUCACCAGAGGCAGAGUUGCCGCCAUUGCUGAAUUUGAACACUUGAGCCAAGGAACAAUUGAAGGUAAGAAGAUUGGUGUUUGAUCUUUGAUGAUUAUAAGUUCUGGCUUUUGGUUUAUAUAAUGGCGAACCGAAUGUACUCGGCUUCGGAGAAGGGCAGUGGUUGUUGAAAGCGCGGUAUUGGGAUUAGCUGGCAUGCUGGAUUAUUAUAAAAUGUAGUGGGAGGUUGAUGCGGCGGUGAGACAGUAUAGACCAUGGCGGAAUCGCGACGAAAACAAACGUCGAGUCGAAUUUGAAUAAAAAAUGAGAAAAACUUAAUUGCUAAAUCAUUAAAACUUUACAUUUAAUUUAAAACUCGAGAGAGCUGAACCAGAACAAACAAAGAAGCAUCGGUGCUACUUCAAUUAGCUAGCUAGGGUGAGAUCAUCAUCAUCAUAUCAAUUAUGUAUGGAGAUGGAUCAUAUAUACAACACAAUAAUACUUCUAGUUCAUUUUCUCAUAAACUGGCUGGCAUUACCAAAUGUUUGUCUCUACAUCUUCAAUAAUUAAUAUUGUCUUGUCGUUUGUAUGUUCAAAUGGGUAAUCAAUAUACAAUUAAUUUUCAAAUGCUAAAACUUAUUUUUUAAAAAUUCUGGUAUCCGAUCUACUGGCCAAUUAAUUCUGUCGAAGAUGGUUUCGAGAUUAUGGUUUUACUCCUCUCCCAACGUUGUUGCGGGGAUCGAAGCUUAUUUUGUCCUUCCAAGUACAGCCCCUAACAUCACUACACUAACCGGUCACUGAUAAAUGCUAAAACAUAACAAUUCAACCUAGCCACAAUAUUAGAAUUGGGCUGGAAAUUCAACGGUGAAUCCAUAAUAAUGUAGUGCAUUGAACCGAAUUAUAUAGAAUUUAAAAUGCAUUAAGUCGCUUAUAAUAAUUUUUCUCAAAAUAUAAAAUUUUGUGUAAUAUCGAAAAUGGACUAAAUCACAAUUUGGGAAUUGAGAGACUCAUCCUAGAUCCACCAUUGAUAGGAAAACUCUGAUUCUUGGUUUCAAACUUCAGUGUGACCGAGUCUCUCGUUACAUUUUUUUAAUUGAAGUAUAUAUCUUUUUUUAAAUGGUUGAUUCUAUGGCCUUAAAUUUCGUCUAAAUUUUUUGAUCAUCCUAAUUCUAUACCAACCAAUCUUGAGAAUUCUAGAGCCCGAGACUAUUAAAUGUUAAUCCACCAUUAAUUCAAGGUUAACUCAUCCGAUAUAUUUUNNNNNNNNNNNNNNNNNNNNNNNNNNNNNNNNNNNNNNNNNNNNNNNNNNNNNNNNNNNNNNNNNNNNNNNNNNNNNNNNNNNNNNNNNNNNNNNNNNAUGAAUGAGUAAUUGUUAAUUUGAAAAAAUUUUACAAAAUUUUUAAAUUAACAAUUUUAUUAACAAUGUCACAUAUAAACAAUUCGAUAAUUUUUUAAGAAAUGUAUUUAUGCUGGCUCAUAAACACAUUAAGACACUUUUAUAAAAAAAUUACUUUCUUAAGAAAUUGCUGAAAGAUUUGUAGGAUGGAGGUGAUUAGAAAUUACUGAAUGAUUUAAUUUGUAAAAAUUGUUGAUGUAACAAAAAAGUUUUUAUUAAAAACUGUUAAUUCAUUUCUAAGAUGUAGAUGAUGUAAGAAAAUUUUCUGUCAUAUAAAAAAAAAAAAUAAAAAAGGGUCAAAGCCAUUCAAAUUAUGAGAACGAUUAAGUAAAUUAAAUAUGAAUGAAUUCUGUGAGACGCAUAAGCACAAGGUGGUUCUGGAUUUUUACAAAAACUCAUCCAUUUGGGACGAUAACAAGCACGACACCGAAAUCGACAUACAAUCUUUUUGCAUGAAUUCGAAUCUCAUUUCCUUCGAAGAAAACAUUUAGUGAAGUACCCCGAAUAGCACUACUUAAUGACUAGGUGAUUGGUUCAGAGAGCCUUCUUUUUCUUUAACCGACCUAUCUUCUUUCUAUAAAUAUUCCUAUUUUCGAUCUCCAUCAAUCUUUGUUCAACCCCUAUUUGACCUUAAAUACCUUAUAACACAGAUGAAAAAAAAGUGCAAAACAAUACAAAAGAUCUUAAAUGAAACGAAACACAUUCAAACCCCACUCGAAACUCAACCAAACAUGGUAAACACUACAUAAAUAUCAUCCAAGGAGGGGCUAAUAGCACUAAAAUAAUGCUAAAUAGGUAUUUCCACCCUAACAAAUUUUCAAACUACUCAUCAAAUCAUUUUAUUUUAUUCAUCCUAUAUAAAUAAAUAAAAAAUAAACAUUACAAAUUAUUUCAUUAUGCCAUUCGAAUGCUCUAUUCUUAAUAAGAUUUUUCAGUUGCUCGUAUUGUUGUCCGAGAUUCGGCUCCAAACAGUUCGACGAUCAGAUAAUGGAGCCGUCUAAAACCUGACAAGCGAGGCUUUCAAAUAUUUCAUAAAAAUAUUGCGACAAUCCUUCCUUUUUGAAUUGAUAAUUAAAUUUAUAUGUGUCUAUUAUUAUUUUUUAUCUCCGCAAAAAAUUAUAAAAAACUAAAAUCGGGAUAUAUUGAACAAUUGAAUUGCGAAAAAUAAGCAGAGCCUCAUUGCGAGGAAUUUGGGCAUUUGGCGCCAUCGAUUUAAUCGACUGUAUCUAUUCAUACAUACCAUAAGAAAUUGCUGACAAUUUUUUUUUUUGUAACAGAAGAAGAUAAGAAAUUCUCCAGUCCGUCUCAAUUUGCUGGGAAGCUUAUCAGAGGCCCAGGUACUCUUCGUUCACAUUUCAUAAUCUCUCUUCCUCCAUUUCCAGAAGGUUUAGGCGCUGCUUGGCUUUCGAAAGAUCAAUUCCGUGAAUCCAUUACGAUGAUGGGUUAAUUCCUGGAGGAAGCGGCUAUUGCUCUGCAAGAAGUGUGCCGAUUUCUUGGUAUCCGAAGCAAAUAUGUCCGCUUUCUCUCUGGUUUGCUCUACCGGGUCGUUCCGCACUAAAGAGAACUUGAGAAUUAGUAGUGUCAAGCCGAGGACUGCGACGGGAUACUCAGCUGCCUUUUCGCAUUAUUGGAUUCCUUCUGUUCAACUUUGCAAGAAACUAGGGUCAUUCUGUAGUGAGAACAAUGGAGCUCGCUUGUUUGGAUUUGGUCUUGGUUACCGGCGGUCUUGGCGUGGGGUUUCUUGUAGCAGCAGAAUUGGGCCGUUGGUCAGCAGUAGUAACAAUGGAGGCGAACCAACCGAGUUGAGAAAAAAAAUUAGUAAAGCGAGGAGGAGAUUUUCAUUGAGACUGCGCCCUAGGUUACGGCUGUUGAGGAUGAUGAUGAAGAGAAUACGAGUUAGGUCAGCCAUAAGUGAUUUCAUUUUGUUUCUUAAGAAGAAUUUGAGAAGAAGGGAGGCACUUUAUGCUUCAAUCUCUAUUGGAUUGGCAAUGUGCUACUUGUUUCUGAGACUGGCAACUGUGCCAUCUUACAAGAUUGUUCCUUAUUCUGACUUGAUAGGAUCCCUGCAGAAUGGUUCCGUUAGUAAAGUUUUACUCGAAGAGGGGUCUCGUCGGAUAUAUUAUAACAUAGACUUUCCUGAGACCUCAAAUAACCAAAACACAGAAGAUCAGUCUCCUUCUGUAGCUGUAGAAGGUGUUGCCUUAGAUGAUCAGUCUCAAGCUAUAGACGUUUCCAAUGUUGUAGAAGGUGUGGCAGCUCCACAGCCAUCGAGGGCUACUCAGUUGGGCAAGGUAUCAUUGAAACCUCGAGCAUCGAAACCUAAGUGGCAGUUUGCCACUAGGAAAAUGGAUCAUGAUGAGAAGUUUCUGCUUAGUUUGUUGAGGCAAAAGGGGACGACGUAUAGCUCUGCUCCCCAAUCAGUUUGGAUGUCAAUGAGGAGUUUGCUGUUAACUAUAAUAGCUUUAUGGAUUCCUUUAACUCCUGUGAUGUGGCUUCUAUACCGCCAGCUUUCGGCUGCCAAUAGUCCUGCAAAGAAGCGGCGUCCAACUAAUCGAACUGUCACUUUUAAUGACGUGGAUGGUGUUGAUGCUGCUAAGGCAGAACUUAUUGAGGUAAGCUACUUUUCCUAUUCAGGUUGAUGAUAUUUAUUAAGCAAAUCAUGUAUGGCCAUCCAUGGUGCACGUAAUAGAUAUUACAGUGAUUUAGGUUGACAAAUAACUGCAUUUGGUAUAGUCCUUUAUCAAUCUUGGAAACCAGAAUGAGAUGUUUAUAAAUCUCAAAUACAUAAGAGUAUAAUUCAUACAUCAAACUUUGGGUUUGCAUACUUUCUUUGAGUGAGCCUUUGUUGUAUGUAGACUAAACAGUUCUUAUGCAUGACGCAACCUGUCUCUUCAUGUUUAAAGUUUAAUGUUCUUUGGACCUUUGUUCUGCCUUUUUAUGUAGUCUGAGUUAUCAAGAUUCUGUAAACAAAAGAACAGCUAGGCUUACCAUGUAAUUGAAAGCACUCAUUGUAUUUAUUUUCUUAAACGUUUAUGCAGGUAAACAUUUGUAAAUGCUGAAGAAUCUCAGUAAUUCUUGUUUCUGUUUGCUUAAAUUACUUACCACGAAAACCAUGACCACUUUUCUUAAUUAUUUUGGAGUAUUGUUUUGUAGAUAUUCAUGAUUCUCUUUACGAUAAAAAUCUUACAAAUCAGUUGAGAACAACACGAUUAUAUGAACUGCUAGGUAGAUUAUGAAACUAGCUUUAGGUUUGAUGUGUCCUCAUCUGUUGACUACACUCCAGUAGGUCAUACUUCAUAAUUCUCAUUCAUGUGUUUUUCAAAAUUCAUACUGGCAGAUAGUCUCGUGCCUUCAAGGAGCGAUAAAAUACCAAACGCUGGGGGCAAAACUGCCCAGAGGUGUGUUGUUGGUUGGUCCUCCGGGGACGGGAAAGACAUUACUGGCUCGUGCAGUAGCAGGAGAAGCUGGAGUCCCCUUUUUCAGUGUCUCCGCCAGUGAAUUUGUGGAAAUGUUUGUUGGAAGAGGAGCAGCACGCAUCAGAGAUCUGUUUAAUGCUGCCAGGAAAUCUGCUCCGUCUAUCAUAUUCAUCGACGAACUUGAUGCAGUUGGAGGAAGACGUGGUCGUAGCUUCAACGAUGAACGAGAUCAAACACUAAAUCAGGUACUUGGAUACAACUUGAAUGAAAAUAGUUUGUUAAGCUAUAGCUGCCUACCAAGUCAUUAACCAUAAUUCUCCACUUUGUAACUCAGUUACUUACAGAAAUGGAUGGAUUCGAGUCAGAGAUGAGAGUGGUGGUGGUUUGCGGCCCAAACAAGCCCGAGGCACUGGACCCUCGUCUCUUCUGUCGCGGGGGAUUUUUCAGGAGAGGGGNNNNNNNNNNNNNNNNNNNNNNNNNNNNNNNNNNNNNNNNNNNNNNNNNNNNNNNNNNNNNNNNNNNNNNNNNNNNNNNNNNNNNNNNNNNNNNNNNNNNNNNNNNNNNNNNNNNNNNNNNNNNNNNNNNNNNNNNNNNNNNNNNNNNNNNNNNNNNNNNNNNNNNNNNNNNNNNNNNNNNNNNNNNNNNNNNNNAGGGAUUGAAGUCAUAGGUGAUAGUGGUGGUGAUUGCAGCCACAAACAGGCCAGAGGCACUGGACCCUGCUCUAUGUCGUCCGGGGAGAUUCUCGAGAAAGGUGUUGGUAGGAGAACCAGAUGAAGAAGGGAGGAGAAAGAUAUUAGCGAUCCAUUUGAGGGAAGUUCCUCUGGAAGAAGACACGGAUCUUAUAGCCGAUCUAGUUGCUUCUUUAACUCCAGGUCUAGUCGGUGCGGAUCUUGCAAACAUCGUUAACGAGGCUGCUUUACUCGCUGCCAGGAGAGGUGGUGAGAGUGUAGCAAGGGAAGAUGUAAUGGAAGCCAUUGAAAGAGCAAAGUUUGGAAUCAAUGAUAAGAAACUGAGGCCGAGUUCGAUAAGCAAGGAGAUAGGGAAGCUGUUCCCAUGGGUUCUUCCAUCUUUGGCGGGGAAGACACAAGGUGAUUCGCAAGGGGAAGGGCCUUUAGGUUACCGGACAUUGAGCUAAGCAGUAAUCCUUUUCGGAAAUGGUACGUAUGUACUGUGAUGCUGUUGUUGUUGUCUGUAAAAAUGAGAAGUUUUGAUCGUCUUUGAUACUACAUGGUGGCUUCUUCGCUAUCUUGGGUGAUCAUUUUGCUUCAUUAUGCCCACAUGAAAUGCACACUGUAUCUUAGUUCGAUAUUUUCGUGAUAGAUGUUGCAGGUUGUAUGAUCAUAAUGAGAUGGAUGUUAGCUAGAGAGUUAAGCUGAUAAAUUCUGGUGCUGCCACCAAGCUUACGAUUAGUUUGUUGAUCUAGUGUUAAUAACAUUAAACCCUCAAUCAGCCACUUUAUACAAAACAAGUCGAUAACUCAUCUUCCGAUAUAAACGAAAAAUACAAUUCUCAUCCAAACGACAUAAGUUUAAGAUUGAAAAUACUAACAAUUCAAAUCACAUGUUUUCCACCAAUCAAAUUCCAAUACUUUAUCUCGCUGAUAUUAAACUGACUAAUUGAUCGCUAUACGGUUCCACCGGUCGUUAUGGUAUGAUUUUGCGAUCAUUUCUAUAUACUUAAUUCAAUUGUACCAUUUAAGUUCAUUUUAGAAUAUAUUAAUUUUUUUAUAAAUUUAUCUGAGUUGAGCUCGAUAUUUGACUCGUCUUAUUAAGAUUUAAAACGAACCAAAUUCGAAUUUAUUAGAACUUGCAAACAAGCAAAUCUCGAGCUAAACCAAGCUAAGCUAGAGCUCACAAAAAGUUAGUCGGGUCGAAUAAAAGCCUAGCGUAGUGACCUAACAAUUUAAUGAAAACGCCAAUUGCUUGUUUUACUUCGGACGGUCCCUAAAAUUGAUGAAAAAUAACUAGAGUGACCAAUUUUGAUAGUCUCCCAACCGGCCCUGCCUCCCUCUUCGCCAUCAUCCAGCCGGCGCCGCCGUCCUCUAAUUUUCUUCCUCUUACUUGACUCACCAACCCCAACCCACUACCCUGUCUCGCAAAUUUCCGCCGCCGCUACUCACCAUUACCCAAACUCCCUAUUCCCUUACCCAAGCACUUGCAGAUAAUUGCUCCCUGAAAUAUACUUGUGUUCGUGUGACUGGUGAAAGCUUUAGCAGGUGGAAGGUUAUAUAGUUUUUUUCCCUUGUCUUUCACUAGUUGCAGAAUUGAAUUUCAGGAAGGGGAUAUGAAUGCUGCUACUUUCAGCUCUAUUUCCUGUCAUCAAGGAUGCAGGUGGAAGGUUAGUAGCUUUGUUUAGCAUUCUAAGAGCCAUAUUGGCGAAUGAUUUCAGUUCUUCUGCUACAAAUGUUCAAUUUUGUGAAUGCUUAAAUAGCUCACUUCACUUAUUUCUGCUUAUGAAUUGACUGCUGCUAGGGAGAGGGGAGAUUUUUGAAGCCCAACAACAAUAAUAGCGAUGGCCAGCUCAAAGUGAAAAGACGAUCGGCACCGAGGAGCUUGAAUAUAUCAUGCUCAAAUGUGGAGAAAAAAGACGUCCGUGUUGCUAUCCUGGGUGCUAGUGGAUAUACCGGUGCUGAGGUUGGUUUGGAAUUUUGGAUAUGGAUGCUCAUGUUUGUUAUUUGAUUAGCCAAUUUCAAAGUGAAAUGAUUGUUCUGUUUGAAAUAUUAGGUGUAGUUUUGUGCAUAAUGUUGAACUAGUCGCAACAUUGGAGAAAGUACUGAUUGAGUUACAGCAAAAGAGUGAUUCUUUCUACUUUAUUGUUUAUGUUGGCAGAUAAUCCGACUGGUCCAAAAUCAUCCCUUUGUUGGGAUCUCUCUUAUGACUGCUGACAGGAAUGCUGGCAAAUCAAUUGGAUCGGUGUUUCCUCACUUGGCCACUCUAAAGGUGCAAGCUUUUCUUCUGAUUAGUUAUGAUUCUUGAUAAGGGAAACUAAUAGCUUUGGAGAGUAUAGACAAGAGAGCGUUUUGGAAUUCUAUUGUUUGGCCCUAACUUCACACUUUAACAUGCGGCAUUGCAGGACUUGCCAACUUUGAUAUCCACUAGCGAGGCCGAUUUUUCAGAUGUGGAUGCUGUGUUUUGUUGUUUACCUCAUGGGACGACACAGGUUCAUCAUUGCUCUCAAUCAAUUCCACUAUGAACGUUUUCUCAGUCGUAAUGUGCUUUCUUUUAUUUCAUUUCCUACAGGAAAUAAUCAAAGGGCUUCCACAAGGUUUAAAAAUUGUUGAUCUCUCUGCUGUAUGAUCUGUUACCUUCAAGGCUCUUAUCUCCUUGUUACUGUUAAAAGUUAGCACCUUAGAUGGAAAACUUAAGUGUAUUAGUGUUAAAUACAUUGCAGGACUUUCGACUCCGAAAACUCUCGGAUUAUGAACAAUGGUAUGGCCAACCACAUAGAGCACCUGAAUUACAGGUAAUAUCCAUUUUGUCAUAAACCGUAAAGAAAGUGCAUACUUCUCAGUUCAUAAUAUGUGUUUUAACUUUAACGUUCACCAUUUUUCUGAGGUGGCUAAUAUCUGAACAUGAACCGAUUCUAAUAAUAUUUUCCUAGUGUACUAUGACAUUACGUAGAAGGGUACAUUAUUGAUAACAAAAGAAGCAAUUAUAUGGCUGAAACCAAAGCUUAAGGUCCAGUUCAAAAAUUGAGUCUGCCAUUCUUUUCUCAACUGUAAAACUGUCGUGCUGAUGGGCUUUCAACUUGAACUUAGGAAGAAGCCGUGUACGGUUUGACUGAAAUUUCCAGAGAUGAAAUAAAAGCUGCACGAUUGGUUGCUAAUCCAGGGUGUUAUCCCACAUCAAUUCAACUUCCUCUUGUACCUUUGAUCAAGGUUUGUGCUCUUUCUUCCUACAUAAUCGGUUGAUUCAGGGUCCCUUUCUCUUCAUUUCAAGUGUGCUAUUCCAACUUUCUUCCAAGCAAAAAGCUCUAAUCAGGUCUUCGUUCUUGCAGGCUGAACUAAUCCGCCAUGAGAAUAUCAUCAUUGACUCAAAAUCUGGAGUUAGUGGAGCAGGUCUGAAUUUCCUAUCUUAUAACCCUGCUCUACAUUCUUGGCAUGGGUUUCUGCUUUUGAUGAUGCUACAAGUACAGCUUGUUUAGAGUGAUUGAUACUUGUCAAAUGGUAUAUUGUCCAGGACGUAGUGCAAAAGUGAAUAACCUAUACGCAGAAGUAUCCGAGGGCAUAAUGUCUUAUGGUGUUACAGGACAUCGACAUGGUAAGUCUGUUUAGGAUAAAAUGGUGGCUGAAAAUUAAUGCUCCAGCUGGAAGUACCUAGACUUAUCCAUGUUCAAUAUCAAGUUGUUUAGUUACUGAAUUUGGUAACUGCAAUGAGAGUCAAAUCAUGACUUCGUUCUGCAGAACUUUGUGAUGAUUGAUCUUGGCCUAUGUUCGAAAACUGAUGGUAAUUUUUGGUUGGCGUUGUUACUGUGAAUUUUCUAACAUGCCUAUAGUUCCGGAAAUUGAACAGGGACUGUCUGAUGCUGCUGGGGGUGAAGUAACAGUCAGUUUCACCCCACACUUAAUGCCUAUGGUAAGAACUGUUAAAAAUAUUUUAGUACUUCAACUAAGGACUAUUCUUAUGGAAAGAGGAUCUUAUGAAAAUCCCCAAAAUGUUUUAUUCAGAGUCGCGGGAUGCAAUCAACUAUAUAUGUGGAGAUGGCUCCAGGGAAGACUGUUGACGACUUAUACGAGCAAUUGAAACGGUCUUAUGAGGUACCUAUAUCGUUCUUUUGUUGUUACUGCAGGUUAGCUAAUAACAUUGCAGAUGGAAUGAUUUUCUUUUCGUUUCAUGCUUGGAGAUCUGGUUGCGUUAUUUCUAUGCUGAGUCGUUGAUUUUAACUGAAUGAGACAUAAAGUGUGGGCUUACGCUUGCAGGAGGAAGAAUUUGUACAUGUUUUAGAGAAAGGAGUGAUUCCUCGGACUCACGAUGUUCAGGGAUCAAACUAUUGUUAUAUGAAUGUCUUUCCUGAUCGAGGUUCCAACAGAGCAAAAAUUAUAUCAGUUGUACGUAUUAUUCCCCUUUUCGUAACUCACCUCUAAAAUACAUACAUCGAGCCAAGGAAACAAGGUGAAAGAACCAAUCUUUUUUACUGUUCUUCUGUGUGUGUGCAGAUUGACAACUUGGUGAAAGGUGCAUCUGGGCAAGCUAUACAAAAUCUGAACUUGAUGAUGGGGUUUCCAGAAAAUGCUGGACUUGGCUAUGUGCCAUUGUUUCCUUAAUAACCAUCUUUACAAAGUAGAAGCAUGUAAUCCCCCACCUACUGCAGAUCAGUUCCGACCUGCAAUUUUUUACUGAUGAAGAUGAAUAAUUGACAGUUCGAUUUGAGGCUUCGGCUAGAAAGUCUGUGUUGCUCUUGUCGAACGAAGUGUUCGUAUGUUUCAAUACGUUUAGUUCAAUCAUAUUGUGCUGAGUUAUGUACUAUGUUUCUUAGCUGCUUGUUGCAAUAAAGGCUUGUGGGUCCUUGCCAGUUGAUCUUGAUCAGAUCAUCCAAGAUAAUUUGUAACCAUAAUAGCUCAGAAAUUUCAUUGAGCCAUAGCUCGAAACUGUCUAGGUACUUGAGAUAUCAUUGGCGCCAAUUAUGUGCUGUUGUGCGUGCCUUUUUUUACCCUUCUAUGAUGCUCAAUAGUGUAAACCACAGGUGGUUAUCGCUUCCUCCAUGGCGCAAAUUCGACUAAUCGGCUUAUGCCAAAUGUCUUACAAAAUCAUUUUAUAGCUUCUGUCUUUGCGGUUCGCUUCCAUUUUGCUACACGUUCAGAACCGUGACAUUUUUGACAAUGUCAUUGUGAGACAUUAGGUAAUUGCACUACCUCUAAACGGAAGAGAACAAGCAAGUAAAAACUCCAUUUGGAAAAAGGCUUAUGACCAUAUUGAGUGAGAUAACAUCCCCGCCAUCGCGAGGGCCUAGGGGUUUUGCACCAAAAUGGAUCUAUGAACGUCUUACCGCGACAUCUUUUUAUGUGCUAUUUAGUGGCCGCUCCUCUGAUAUUUCCAUCCCUACUCGUGGCUUACGACAAGGAGAUCCAAUUAAAGGCCAUCUGAGUCAGAAGCAGGCCCCGCUGCCAAGUAUGUGACGUUACGUUACAUCUUCGCUUCUGUUGUACGGUAGGAUGGGGCCAAUCAUAUUACCUGGAUCACAAUUCUUCUGUACACUUACUUAGAUUAGAUUGAAAAACAUGUGAACAUCGGCCAGCACUGUUAACUUGGUUGAACCACAGUCAUCCGCCAUGAACGACCAAUCCCAAGCUAGAUAUCUGUGGUAUUGCCUGUUUCCCACAUGGAAAACACCACCAAUACAUCCCCAAAGCAGCUGGAGAUGGCAGCAACUGUUCAUAGAAGUGGGAGAUGAUGUGAAUCAGAAAGGGACUGACUUUUGUCGUUGAUUUCGACUCAUUCUUCGACCCUCUAUGUAAGGUAGCAAAUUAGUGAAAAGUAUAGCGAUUUCCAUGUCAGCUGCUGCGCCUACCUGCGCCUACUGAUUCAACUAUUGUACCCGUCACGAUAGAUAACCAUAGAUUCGUAUAAUAAUAUUGAGUCAACGUGACAGAAUAUUUAGUUUUGUGAACUGCUAUAAUAUACUUUAUUAUUAUUUAUUAAGAUAACUGAGCAUUACAAUUUUACAAACCCCCACCUCCGGAAUCAAACAGCUGCAGUUCCAGAAAGCAGAAGGGAUAUGAACACCUAGCUAAAGAACAUAUCAGACAGAACAAGACAAAUCUCAAACAGCUGUUCCCACGUAAGCUGUUCUUCUUAUCCUCAAUUCAGCUUAAUUGCCCAAGAUUCCAGCUUUCACCCUUCUCUUCAGCUCCUUUCUGCAAUUAACCAUAACCCAAAACCGAAAAAUCAGUAACAUGACCGGCUCGAUGGUUAAUUACUUAAUUCUCUGGAAUGGAGAUGGUCUAAUAAUAAUAAGUUGGUGAGUAAAUUUACCUGAUGAGGUCUCUGUCAAGGCUCGAAGCAGAGAGCAUUCCUCUGUUCUCUUCAGCCCUCCUAACCAAAUAAGGCAUCACUAUAUCAAUCUCUCCAAACGGCAUGUAUUUACUAACUCGAAACCCGGCAUUCUUCAGCCCCAUCGAAAGCGAUUCCCCCAUCCCGUAAAGCUGUGCAAACUCCAGCCUCUUCUCCUCCAUUCCCAUUAUCCCCAUCUCUCUGGCCCUGGUAGCCGCCAGCCUGGCCGAUUCUACAUUAUGCGUCGCCAGAACCAACCCAUCGUUCGUUCCCAAGCCAGAAUUACCAAUCCGAUCGAUCAUAAACCUCGCGCAAUCGUUGUAACAAUCGUGAGUGUCCUGAAUCGUGUCAUGGACGGGAGACUCGAAUCCGAGUUUCGAAGCCAGCAGUCUCUCGCUCGACAUAUAGGCGCCUCUGACAAGCUUGAACCCCAUAGCCAAACCCAUCUUGUCUGCAGCCUUUGUAGCCAUGAGUAGCCUAUCCUUGGCAUCCUUCAAGUAAGCCUGGAUGGUGUUGUACACCAAAGGUGUGUCCUUUGUGUUGUAAACAGCGGCUGCCGUGUAGGUGAAGUAAUCGAUGGCCGGUUGGAGCUUGGUGUCCUCUGCAUCGAUGGUGAGAGGUAUGUUCGAUUCCGAGCAUCUUUGGCAGAGAAUGUCGAGUCUUUUGUGGGCUAGUUGGAGGUCUUGUUCUUCUUCUUCUGUGAGUUGAGCUGGUUGGGUUAGAGUGUGGUACAAUGGGCUUGAUUCUGAGAAAAUUGGCAACGAGGAAUUUGAAGAUUGUUUCCAUGGCAGGUGGAAAUUUGACGGCUGCCGUUGUUGCCACCGGAGUAAGUCGCUGAUCCGCUCAAGCAGUGUCAGUGGGCAAAUGGCCGUCAUCUUGAUUGGUACGAAACUCACCUUUUGGAAAACAAAACAAAACAUUAAAGUGGGUCAAGUUGGAGGAAGAUACGUAUAAAAAUUUGGAUCUUCCUCAUUUGUUGGAAUCUCCCACUCCCACUUGCAAAAGUGAAAAGAAUCUUGUCUUGGUUUUUUGUUCUUAUUUUUCAUUAAAAUGGAAUCUACUAAUAAGUUAAAAGAAUGAAGAAAAGAUACUCACCGAAGAUGCUGGAAGAGAGGCAGCGGAAUCCACCGUCUCGAGGAACCCUUCCAAAUUCCGAUCACAAGCCUCGUUGUCAGGGGUGUACUCCACGGCAAAAUCCAGCAUGGCGCGUAGCCCGGACUCGUUCAGCUCCCUAACCUUCUCACGCGCCUCCGCAGAAGUCUCCCCGCCGCAGAAAUGCUCGUAGAACGUCCGCCUCACAACCCCGUACACCAGCCCCCGCACGGCUUCCACCUCCAUGAGGCGCGACGUCAGCACCUUCGAACCGACGUCCACCACCACCUCCGACGCCGACGCGUGGAGGACGGCGGAGGCGUGGAUCAGCUUCUGAAGGGGCACGGCGCCGUACAGUUCCCGGUGAUCGUCCAGCUGUAGGAUGGAGGUUGGCGACGCCGGAGGAGGUGGGGUGGUAGUACUGCCGAAGGUUGUGGCCGGGAUGUCCACGUCGACGUGGGUGGUCAAGCUGAGAGGUGGGGCGGCGGCGGAGAAAGAUGAAGGGGAGGAGUUGAGGUGCCUGACAACGGCGCUGUGACGGAGGAGGAAUUUGGUGGCGGUUUUGGCAGUGGUGGCCAUCAAUGUCGGAAAACAGAAUCAAGAAGUUUGUCCCUUUGGUGGUGUAAUUUGUUUUCCGAUGGGUGAGUGAGCAUUUGUUGUAGGAAGUGAAGGCUCUUUUAUAGGCAACAGAAGUAAUAUUUUACUAUUAUUUUCUCAUUUUUCUUAUUCAACUAGAUUCAACGGCGGAUGCAUGUGGUCCAAGUGGGUGUGACUGGACCCCACUUUAGUCAGAAAAAAUAAUAUAUCCAUUGUAAAUCUGCGUGUUGCCACGUACUACAUGACAAAUCAAAAACAGCUGUUCCGACGGUAGCCAUUGUUCUCGAUUCAGCUUCCCCGACAUUGCACCUUUCAGCCUUCUCUUCCAAUCCUUACUCUUCAAGGAAAGCAUUUAAUUCAAAGACUAAUAUGGACCCUAAGAUUAUGCCGCUCGACUAAUCUAAUGGUCCAUAUUAAAACGUGAAUCACCUAACCACUCGACCAUAUUGUUUACUUUAAUUUUAAUAGUGGUUGGUUCAUGAUAAGUACGUUGUUGUAACUUGUAACAUGGCAUAUAACUUUGGACAUGUUACAUUUUCUGUAACAUGGCAUAUUACAAUUAAUAUUUGACAGUUCCCAGAAGUUAGGAAACAGAAAUUGUCAGCUGCUUGGUUUGUAAAAUAUUUUAUUUAUACCCCGUAAUAUUAAAAUAAGCAGUCAAAUUGUGGGGAACAAACCACACCCAACCUGCACUAGAAAGGGCCGUACAUUUACUUAGUAGGUGCGAGUGACGACUGACAAUCACGAGCUGCAUUCCUUGUUCGUUCGUUCAUAUCUCUAUACAAAUCCAAACAGCUGUUCCCCACGCUGCUUAUCUUCCUGCGUGUUGCCACGUACUACAUGACAAAUUGAUCCCAAACAGCUGUUCCCCAGGACUGUUUCUUAAUUCAGCUUCCCCAAGAUUCCAGCUUUCAUCCUUCUCUGCAACUCCUUUCUGCAAUUACCAAAACCCAAAUAACUAGUUGCAUGGUUGCCUGGAUGGUUAUAGUUUCUUAAUAAUUAAUAUUACUAAUAAAGACUAUUAUUGACUAAUAACCUGAUGAGCUGUCUGUCAACCCUGGAAGCAGAGAGCAUUCCUCUGUUCUCUUCACUCCUCCUAACCAAAUACGGCAUCACUAUAUCAAUCGCUCCAAACGGCAUGUACUUACUAACUCGAAACCCGGCAUUCUUCGGCCCCAUCGAAAGCGAUUCCCCCAUCCCGUAAAGCUGUGCAAACUCCAGCCUCUCUGGCUCUAUUAGCCGCUAGCCUCCCCGAUUCGACAUUAUGCGUCGCCAGAACCAACCCAUCCGAAGAAUUCGAGUUACCAAUCCGGUCGAUCAUAAACCUCGCGCAAUCGUUGUAACAUUCGUGAGUGUCCCGAAUCGUGUCGUGGACAGGAGACCCGAAUCCGAGUUUCGAAGCCAAAACUCUCUCGCUAGACAUGUAAGCUCCUCUGACAAGCUUGAACCCCAUAGCCAACCCCAUCUUAUCAGUAGCCUUUGUAGCCAUGAGUAGCCUAUCCUUGGCGUCCUUCAAGUAAACCUGGAUGGUGUUGUACACCAAAGGUGUGUCCUUUGUGUUGUAAAUGACGGCUGAAGUGUAGGUGAAGUAAUCGAUGGCCGGUUGGAGCUUGGUGUCCUCUGCAUCGAUGGUGAGAGGGAUGUUCGAUUCCGAGCAUCUUUGGCAGAGAGUGUUGAGUCUUUUGUGGGCUAGUUGGAGGUCUUGUUCUUCCUCCUCUGUGAGUUG
rnacentral:lncRNA from 1 species